UUCCCAUGGACGAAAGUCUGAUGGAGCAACGCCGCGUGAGUGAAGAAGGUUUUCGGAUCGCAAAACUCUGAUUGUUGUUACAAGAACGAAUACCUUCAUCAACUGAAUCAGGCGAGUGACCGUCUCACUUUCGACCGUUGCUGGAUAAUUCCCUACUGCCUCCCGU
rnacentral:rRNA from 1 species